UACGUAGGCCUCGAGCGUUAUCCGGAUUUAUUGGGCGUAAAGAGCAUGUAGGAGGCUUCGCGCGUCUCUGGUUAAAGACCACUGCCUAACGGUGGGACUGCCGGGGAUACGGCGGAGCUGGAGGAGGUUAGAGGUGCAUGGAACGCAUGGUGUAGGGGUAAUAUCCGUUGAUAUCAUGCGGAACACCGAAGGCGAAGGCAGUGCACUGGGACCUUCCUGACUCUGAGAUGCGAAAGCGUGGGGAGCAAAAAGG
rnacentral:rRNA from 1 species